GGACGAUGUUUAUUUAUUUAUCUGUUCUCUGACAAACAGUCUCCUUGGAGGGCUAAGGUUCAUCUCUGCACACAGUAGCCGACACACAACGACCAGGCGGUGCCUGAAAAUGUUCAUUUAUUAUGACUGGGUCACAUGGAGAGUUAACUACAUGAAAAACAGCUGGCUGGCUGGUGUUUUGGAGUAAGUGUUACCUUUCCACCUAUGGGUAUCGGGGCUGUGAAAUCCGGGGUAGCGGGAAGUGACUCCGGGUCGAAGCUCGAGAAGUGGGUCUUGAACGAACUGCCGCCUUCCGCCUUGGCGGCCUUCGAGCGACCUGGCGCUGCUGGUGCUAAUUAUGUUUACUUGGGUGUUUACUACAUUUAUUAAACUUUGUAUAAAGAGCAACAUACAAUUGUGAAAGGUUGUUGCUGUGCUAUUCUUAGUAACACUUUGCGCUGACUAAUUGUGUUACUGGGCCUUGAAGCUGAAGUUUGAAACCUUGAAGUGAUAUUGACACUUGAGUGUGAAACAAGUGCCUUUGUAUUAACUGCAUCUUGCUAUUUAUUGGGUGCAUCUCUGGAAGGUUGUUAUCCAGGUAAGUGCUUUUGAGAACAUCAGUUUUCUGUGUCCGAAGACCAGUCAGAAAUAAGGUGUGUCUUAAAUUAAGCCGUCAGGCACAUAAUUGUCAGUGGCUUUGAAAUUUUCCUAUAAGUGAGAUAGACCUUGUUUCAUAAAAAGACAUUCGUAGCAGUUUCUCUAAAUUCUUGUGAAUUA